rnacentral:lncRNA from 1 species
CGCCCAUAUGCGCCCUUGCAGCUCUGUUAGGGACAGGAGGAGAACCUCGUCCUAAUAUGAGUAAAGUCGAAGGCCCGAUUACUCUUAGAUCGGAUGGGGGGAGAGGCCCUGCAACACCCAUAUGUGCCCCCACAGUCCUGUUAGGAAUAGGGGAAGAACCACAUCCUAACCUGGGCUAAAAUUGAUUACAUCAGAAAUAGGAAAAGCACCUCGUCCUGACACCAAUUAAGGUCUGGUCAUUCAAGACCAGAUAAGAAAAAGGGAACCUUCUCAGUGGCCCCUCCGCACUCUCGCGACCCCACUAAGAGCAGAGAGAAAACCCUCACUCG